UUGACCUCGGAUCAGGUAGRARUACCCGCUGAACUUAAGCAUAUCAAUAAGCGGAAGAAAAAGAAACCAACAGGGAAUUGCCCUUAGUAACGGGCGAGUGAAGCGGGCAACAGCUUCAAAUUUGAAAAUCCUGGCCCUUGGGGUCCCAAAUUGGUAAUUUGGUAGAGGGAUGAAUUUUGGUGGCGGUAAUCUUUCCAAGUUCCUUGGAACAGGACGCCUUAAAAGGGUGAGAGCCCCGACGGUGAAUGCUAGCCUCUGAAAUCUCCUUCACAAUCAGUGUUGGGAAGCAA
rnacentral:rRNA from 1 species